rnacentral:tRNA from 1 species
GCAGUGGUGGUUCAGUGGUAGAAUUCUCAUCUUCCAUGCAAGACAGUUGGGUUCAAUUCCCAGCCAAUAUA